UACGGAGGGUGCAAGCGUUGUUCGGAUUUAUUGGGCGUAAAGCGCGUGUAGGCGGUUUCUUAAGUCUGAUGUGAAAGCCCUGGGCUCAACCCAGGAAGUUCAUUGGAUACUGGGAGACUUGAAUACGGGAGAGGGUAGUGGAAUUCCUAGUGUAGGAGUGAAAUCCGUAGAUAUUAGGAGGAACACCGGUGGCGAAGGCGGCUACCUGGACCGAUAUUGACGCUGAGACGCGAAAGCGUGGGGAGCAAACAGG
rnacentral:rRNA from 1 species